CCUACGGGUGGCAGCAGUCGAGAAUCAUUCACAAUGGGGGAAACCCUGAUGGUGCGACGCCGCGUGGGGGAAUGAAGGCCUUCGGAUUGUAAACCCCUGUCAUGUGGGAGCAAAUUAAAAAGAUAGUACCACAAGAGGAAGAGACGGCUAACUCUGUGACAGCAGCCGCGGCAAUACAGAGGUCACAAGCGCUGUUCGGAAUCACUGGGCGUAAAGCGUGCGUAGGCUGUUUCGUGAGUCGUGUGUGAAAGGCGCGGGCUCAACCCGCGGACGGCACAUGAUACUGCGAGACUAGAGUAAAGGAGAGGGAACCGGAAUUCUCGGUGUAGCAGUGAAAUGCGUAGAUAUCGGGAGGAACACUCGUGGCGAAGGCGGGUUCCUGGACAUUAACUGACGCUGAGGCACGAAGGCCAGGGGAGCGAAAGGGAUUAGAUACCCUAGUAGUC
rnacentral:rRNA from 1 species